rnacentral:rRNA from 1 species
GUGGGGAAUCUUGCGCAAUGCGCGACAGCGUGACGCAGCGACGCCGCGUGUGGGAGGAAGCCCUUCGGGGUGUAAACCACUGUCAGGGGGGACGAACCCCGGACGGGCGAAUAGCCCGGACGGCUGACGGUACCUCCAAAGGAAGCACCGGCUAACUCCGUGCCAGCAGCCGCGGUAAGACGGAGGGUGCAAGCGUUGUCCGGAAUUAUUGGGUGUAAAGGGUGUGCAGGCGGAAGUCUAAGUCGGAGGUGAAAUCUUGCCGCUUAACGGUAAAAUGGCCAUGGAAACUGGGUUUCUUGAGUACAGAAGAGGUCGGUGGAAUUCGUAGUGUAGCGGUGAAAUGCAUAGAUAUUACGAAGAACAUCAGUGGCGAAGGCGGCCGGCUGGACUGUAACUGACGCUGAGGCACGAAAGCGUGGGGAGCGAACAGGAUUAGAAACCCGAGUAGUCC